UACGUAGGGACCAAGCGUUGUUCGGAUUUACUGGGCGUAAAGGGCUCGUAGGCGGUCUGUCGCGUCGAAAGUGAAAACUCAGGGCUUAACCCUGAGCCUGCUUCCGAUACGGGCAGACUAGAGGUAUGCAGGGGAGAACGGAAUUCCUGGUGUAGCGGUGAAAUGCGCAGAUAUCAGGAGGAACACCGGUGGCGAAGGCGGUUCUCUGGGCAUUACCUGACGCUGAGGAGCGAAAGUGUGGGGAGCGAACAGG
rnacentral:rRNA from 1 species